CCCCCAUAAACCCCCUUAAUAAGUAGAGUGACAUGGGGGAACACAUUCAAGUUAAAAGCAGCAAAAGAACCCUAUCUUUAAUUAGAACUUGGCAAAAGGAGGGAUAGACAAAAAAGGAGUUCGACUUAUUAUAUUUAUAUAGCGCCAACAAAUUCCAUAGCGCUUUACAAUGGGUGAUGUAAUUGUAACCAGACAAGUUUGACACACAGAGGGGUUGAGGGCUUUGCUUAAUGAGCUUACAUGCUAGAGGGAGUGAGGU